UACGUAGGGUGCGAGCGUUGUCCGGAAUUAUUGGGCGUAAAGAGCUCGUAGGCGGUUUGUUGCGUCGGCCGUGAAAACCUGCAGCUUAACUGUGGGCCUGCGGCCGAUACGGGCAGACUUGAGUUCGGUAGGGGAGACUGGAAUUCCUGGUGUAGCGGUGAAAUGCGCAGAUGUCAGGAGGAACACCGGUGGCGAAGGCGGGUCUCUGGGCCGAUACUGACGCUGAGGAGCGAAAGCGUGGGGAGCGAACAGG
rnacentral:rRNA from 1 species